GCGAUAUUGGAAUGAUACUAAAACUUGGAAUAACACCGAGAAAAUUACCAUGGGCCCUGUGCAAGGAUAACACACAAACUAGCAAAGCAUUUAAUAUUUUG
ensembl:snRNA U6 U6 spliceosomal RNA